rnacentral:misc_RNA from 1 species
AACGCACCUUGCGCUCUUUGGUAUUCCGAAGAGCAUGCCUGUUUGAGUGUCAUGAAAAUAUCAACCUUGACUUGGGUUUUGUGCUCUAGUCUCGGCUUGGAAUUGGGUGCUUGCCGCUUUUACGAGCGGCUCACCUUAAAUGUAUUAGCUGGAUCUGAGCCGCUUUUACGAGCGGCUCACCUUAAAUGUAUUAGCUGGAUCUGUCUUUGAGACUUGGUUUGACUUGGCGUAAUAAGUAUUUCGCUAAGGACAUUCUUCGGAGUGGCCUCGUUUCUAGGACGCUUGUCCGCUUUCCAAUACAAGUUCCACCUCGUGGACAUGACUUUUUAUUAUCUGGCCUCAAAUCAGGUAGGACUACCCGCUGAACUUAA